UCCGGUGGCAAUGGUGGAGGGGCCACACCUGUUCCCAUUUCGAACACAGUAGUUAAGCCCUCUAACGUCGAUGGUACUGCCUGGGCGAUCAGGUGGGAGAGUAGAAAGCUGCCGGGU
rnacentral:rRNA from 1 species